UAAAACCAGCUCUUCGAGUGGUUGGGACUUUUAUUGGGCCUAAAGCGUGCGUAGCCGGGUCCGUAAGUCCCUGGUUAAAUCCGACAGCUUAACUGUUCGGGCUGCUAGGGAUACUGCGAACCUUGGAGGCGGGAGAGGUGAACGGUACUUCAUGGGUAGGGGUGAAAUCCUGUCAUCCAUGGGGGACCACCGAUGGCGAAGGCAGUUCACUAGAACGCGCUCGACGGUGAGGCACGAAACCCAGGGGAGCGAACCGUAGUAGCUACUAACUAAUACUUGCCUGCUACGGGCCCAAACCGGAUUAGAUUCACGCUAGAGUCACCCCCUCUGCGUGCUGAAAACCCGGGUAGUCCUGGGCGUAAACGAUGCUAGCUAGGUG
rnacentral:rRNA from 1 species